AUAGUAGCUUCUUUCUGUGAAUCUUUUGCUACUUAUGUUGAUCUCCCCAAGGAGAAGUGGUUUAAAUACCAUCCUCCCAUAGAAGUAAAAGUAGCUGCACCUAUUAAAGUUGAAGAAAAUACUGUCACUUAUAAUGAUCCUAUUGUUCCCACUUCUUAUGUUGAGAAACCACCUUUCCCUGUUAGAAUGAAGGAUCAUGCUAAAGCUUCAACUGUUGUUCGUAAAAGCAAUACUAGAACUUAUACACCUCCUGAGCAAGUCAAAGUAGAACCUAAUAUUGCUAUUGUUAAAGAUCUCUUGUCCGAUAAUAUUGAUGGGCAUGUCAUUGAAUUCUCUGGUGAAACAGCUGGAAUUGCUAAACCCUGUGAUAGAUAUAAACAUAGACCCGUGGUAGGCGUGCCUGUUAUUUCUAUUAAAAUAGGA
rnacentral:rRNA from 1 species